UACGAAGGGGGCUAGCGUUGUUCGGAUUUACUGGGCGUAAAGCGCACGUAGGCGGAUUGUUAAGUCGGGGGUGAAAUCCUGGAGCUCAACUCCAGAACUGCCUUCGAUACUGGCAAUCUCGAGUCCGGAAGAGGUAAGUGGAACUCCUAGUGUAGAGGUGGAAUUCGUAGAUAUUAGGAAGAACACCAGUGGCGAAGGCGGCUCACUGGAUCGGUACUGACGCUGAGGUGCGAAAGCGUGGGGAGCAAACAGG
rnacentral:rRNA from 1 species